GACGAACGCUGGCGGCGUGCUUAACACAUGCAAGUCGAACGGAAAGGCCCUGCUUGCAGGGUACUCGAGUGGCGAACGGGUGAGUAACACGUGGGUGAUCUGCCCUGCACUUCGGGAUACGCCUGGGAAACUGGGUCUAAUACCGGAUAGGAGCCAUUUUUAGUGUGAUGGUUGGAAAGUUUUUUCGGUGUAGGAUGAGCUCGCGGCCUAUCAGCUUGUUGGUGGGGUAAUGGCCUACCAAGGCGGCGACGGGUAGCCGGCCUGAGAGGGUUGACGGCCACAUUGGGACUGAGAUUCUGCCCCGACUCCUACGGGUGGCAGCAGUGGGGAAUAUUGCACUAUGGGCGCAAGCCUGAUGCAGCGACGCCGCGUGGGGGAUGACGGCCUUCGGGUUGUAAACUCCUUUCGCUAGGGACGAAGCUUUUUGUGACGGUACCUAGAUAAGAAGCACCGGCUAACUACGUG
rnacentral:rRNA from 1 species